rnacentral:tRNA from 1 species
GGUGCCGUACCCAAGUGGCUAAGGGGGGAGUCUGCAAAACUCUUAUUCGUGGGUUCGAUUCCCACCGGCACCU